rnacentral:tRNA from 1 species
GGUCCGUUGGUCAAGGGGUUAANACACCGCCUUUUCACGGCGGUAACACGGGUUCGAAUCCCGUACGGACUA